AGUGAACGCUGGCGGUAGGCCUAACACAUGCAAGUCGAACGGCAGCACAGUAAGAGCUUGCUCUUACGGGUGGCGAGUGGCGGACGGGUGAGGAAUACAUCGGAAUCUACUUUUUCGUGGGGGAUAACGUAGGGAAACUUACGCUAAUACCGCAUACGACCUACGGGUGAAAGCAGGGGAUCUUCGGACCUUGCGCGAUUGAAUGAGCCGAUGUCGGAUUAGCUAGUUGGCGGGGUAAAGGCCCACCAAGGCGACGAUCCGUAGCUGGUCUGAGAGGAUGAUCAGCCACACUGGAACUGAGACACGGUCCAGACUCCUACGGGAGGCAGCAGUGGGGAAUAUUGGACAAUGGGCGCAAGCCUGAUCCAGCCAUACCGCGUGGGUGAAGAAGGCCUUCGGGUUGUAAAGCCCUUUUGUUGGGAAAGAAAAGCAGCAGGUUAAUACCCCGCUGUUCUGACGGUACCCGAAGAAUAAGCACCGGUUAACUUCGUG
rnacentral:rRNA from 1 species